GUGAACGCUGGCGGUAGGCCUAACACAUGCAAGUCGAACGGCAGCACAGUAAGAGCUUGCUCUUACGGGUGGCGAGUGGCGGACGGGUGAGGAAUACAUCGGAAUCUACUUUUUCGUGGGGGAUAACGUAGGGAAACUUACGCUAAUACCGCAUACGACCUACGGGUGAAAGCAGGGGAUCUUCGGACCUUGCGCGAUUGAAUGAGCCGAUGUCGGAUUAGCUAGUUGGCGGGGUAAAGGCCCACCAAGGCGACGAUCCGUAGCUGGUCUGAGAGGAUGAUCAGACACACUGGAACUGAGACACGGUACAGACUCCUACGGGAGGCAGCAGUGGGGAAUAUUGGACAAAGGGCGAAAGCCUGAUCCAGCCAUACCGCGUGGGUGAAGAAGGACUUCGGGUUGUAAAGCCCUUUUGUUGGGAAAGAAAAGCAGCAGGUUAAUACCCCGCUGUUCUGACGGUACCCAAAGAAUAAGCACCGGCUAACUUCGUG
rnacentral:rRNA from 1 species